rnacentral:rRNA from 1 species
UGGUGGUGUAGGGGUAAAAUCCGUAGAUAUCACCAAGAAUACCCAUUGCGAAGGCGAUCUGCUGGAACUCAACUGACGCUAAGGCGCGAAAGCGUGGGGAGCAAACAGGAUUAGAUACCCUGGUAGUCCACGCCCUAAACGAUGUACACUAGUUGUUGGGAUGCUAGUCAUCUCAGUAAUGCAGCUAACGCAUUAAGUGUACCGCCUGGGGAGUACGGUCGCAAGAUUAAAACUCAAAGGAAUAGACGGGGACCCGCACAAGCGGUGGAGCAUGUGGUUUAAUUCGAAGAUACGCGAAGAACCUUACCUGGGCUUGAUAUCCUAAGAACCUUAUAGAGAUAUGAGGGUGCUAGCUUGCUAGAACUUAGAGACAGGUGCUGCACGGCUGUCGUCAGCUCGUGUCGUGAGAUGUUGGGUUAAGUCCCGCAACGAGCGCAACCCACGUAUUUAGUUGCUAACGGUUCGGCCGAGCACUCUAAAUAGACUGCCUUCGUAAGGAGGAGGAAGGUGUGGACGACGUCAAGUCAUCAUGGCCCUUAUGCCCAGGGCGACACACGUGCUACAAUGGCAUAUACAAUGAGACGCAAUACCGCGAGGUGGAGCAAAUCUAUAAAAUAUGUCCCAGUUCGGAUUGUUCUCUGCAACUCGAGAGCAUGAAGCCGGAAUCGCUAGUAAUCGUAGAUCAGCCAUGCUACGGUGAAUACGUUCCCGGGUCUUGUACUCACCGCCCGUCACACCAUGGGAGUUGAUUUCACUCGAAGCCGGAAUACUAAACUAGUUACCGUCCACAGUGGAAUCAGCGACUGGGGUGAAGUCGUAACAAGGUAACCGUAGGAGAACCUGCGGUUGGAUCACCUCCUUUCUA